AUUGAACGCUGGAGGCGUGCUUAACACAUGCAAGUCGUGCGAGAAAGGGACUUCGGUCCUGAGUAGAGCGGCGCACGGGUGAGUAACGCGUGGGUAAUCUCCUUUGGUGAUCGGGAUAACAGCGGGAAACUGCUGCUAAUACCGGAUAAUCUUCAUGUUUAACUUCAUGGGGUAAAGGUGGCCUCUGCUUGCAAGCUACCACAUCAAGAUGAGCCCGCGUCUCAUUAGCUAGUUGGUAGGGUAAUGGCCUACCAAGGCUACGAUGAGUAGCUGGUCUGAGAGGAUGACCAGCCACACUGGGACUGGAACACGGCCCAGACUCCUACGGGAGGCAGCAGUGGGGAAUAUUGCGCAAUGGGCGAAAGCCUGACGCAGCGACGCCUCGUGAGGGAUGAAGGUCUUCGGAUCGUAAACCUCUGUCAAGAGGGAAGAAACCCUUGGAUUCGAAUAGGGUCCUUGGCUGACGGUACCUCAAAAGGAAGCACCGGCUAACUCCGUGCCAGCAGCCGCGGUAAUACGGAGGGUGCAAGCGUUAAUCGGAAUCACUGGGCGUAAAGCGCUCGUAGGCGGUUUGGUCAGUCAGAUGUGAAAGCCCUCGGCUUAACCGGGGAACUGCAUUUGAUACUGCCAGACUUGAGUGUCGGAGAGGGUGGCGGAAUUCCGGGUGUAGGAGUGAAUCCGUAGAUAUCCGGAGGAACACCAGUGGCGAAGGCGGCCACCUGGACGACAACUGACGCUGAGGAGCGAAAGCGUGGGGAGCAAACAGGAUUAGAUACCCUGGUAGUCCACGCGGUAAACGAUGGAUGCUGGGUGUCGGGGGUUUACCUUCGGUGCCGCAGUUAACGCGUUAAGCAUCCCGCCUGGGGAGUACGGUCGCAAGGCUGAAACUCAA
rnacentral:rRNA from 1 species